rnacentral:rRNA from 1 species
AGCGAACGCUGGCGGCAGGCUUAACACAUGCAAGUCGAGCGGGCAUAGCAAUAUGUCAGCGGCAGACGGGUGAGUAACGCGUGGGAACGUACCUUUUGGUUCGGAACAACACAGGGAAACUUGUGCUAAUACCGGAUAAGCCCUUACGGGGAAAGAUUUAUCGCCGAAAGAUCGGCCCGCGUCUGAUUAGCUAGUUGGUGAGGUAAUGGCUCACCAAGGCGACGACCAGUAGCUGGUCUGAGAGGAUGAUCAGCCACAUUGGGACUGAGACACGGCCCAAACUCCUACGGGAGGCAGCAGUGGGGAAUAUUGGACAAUGGGCGCAAGCCUGAUCCAGCCAUGCCGCGUGAGUGAUGAAGGCCCUAGGGUUGUAAAGCUCUUUUGUGCGGGAAGAUAAUGACGGUACCGCAAGAAUAAGCCCCGGCUAACUUCGUGCCAGCCGCCGCGGUAA